rnacentral:rRNA from 1 species
AUUGAACGCUGGCGGCAGGCCUAACACAUGCAAGUCGAACGAGUGGCGGACGGGUGAGUAAUGUCUGGGAAACUGCCUGAUGGAGGGGGAUAACUACUGGAAACGGUAGCUAAUACCGCAUACCAUCAGAUGUGCCCAGAUGGGAUUAGCUAUUUGGGGGGGUAACGGCUCACCAAGGCGACGAUCACUAGCUGGUCUGAGAGGAUGACCAGCCAAACUGGAACGGAGACACGGCCCAGCCUCCUACGGGAGGCAGCAGUGGGGAAUAUUGCACAAUGGGCGCAAGCCUGAUGCAGCCCUGCCGCGUGUAGGAAGAAGGCCUUCGGGUUGUAAAGUACUUUCAGCGAGGAGGCGUUACCCGCAGAAGAAGCACCGGCUAACUCCGUGCCAGCAGCCGCGGUAAUUC